rnacentral:rRNA from 1 species
AACGAACGCUGGUGGCAGGCUUAACACAUGCAAGUCGAACGCGAAAUCACCUUCGGGUGGUGGAGAGUGGCAGACGGGUGAGUAACGCGUGGGAACCUACCUAGUGGUACGGAAUAACUCAGGGAAACUUGGGCUAAUACCGUAUGUGCCCGAAAGGGGAAAGAUUCAUCGCCGCUAGAUGGGCCCGCGUCGGAUUAGCUUGUUGGUGAGGUAACGGCUCACCAAGGCGACGAUCCGUAGCUGGUCUGAGAGGAUGAUCAGCCACACUGGGGCUGAGACACGGCCCAGACUCCUACGGGAGGCAGCAGUGGGGAAUAUUGGACAAUGGGCGCAAGCCUGAUCCAGCCAUGCCGCGUGAGUGAUGAAGGCCCUAGGGUUGUAAAGCUCUUUCGGCGGGGACGAUAAUGACGGUACCCGCAGAAGAAGCCCCGGCUAACUUCGUGCCAGCCGCCGCCGUAA